rnacentral:rRNA from 1 species
UACGUAGGGUGCAAGCGUUGUCCGGAAUUAUUGGGCGUAAAGAGCUCGUAGGCGGUUUGUUGCGUCGGCUGUGAAAUCCCGAGGCUCAACCUCGGGUCUGCAGUCGAUACGAGCAAACUAGAGUGUUGCAGGGGAGACUGGAAUUCCUGGUGUAGCGGUGAAAUGCGCAGAGUAUCAGGAGGAACACCGGUGGCGAAGGCGGGUUACUGGGCUGAUGACUGACGCUGGAUGCGCGAAAGCUAGGGGAGCAAACGGG